ensembl:misc_RNA 7SK 7SK RNA
GGUGAGGGCAAUCUAGUCAACAUCUGUCACUCCAUUGCUUAUUAGGAUUAUUUUAGCUGAUGUGUCUGACUGGGCAGGUGUCCCCUCUCUCCCUCAGUGCUCCAUGUGCAUCCCUCUUGAAGCUUCACACUCUGUUGAAGAGGACUCUCAUCCCAGGUAGAGAGGGGGACGGGAAACUGGGCCAAUUGAAUGUGUGUCUUUUUCUUUCCAUCAGAUCAAGGCUGCUUAACUGAAAUCCAUUUGCUUCCUGAGGUCCAUGGCCUCUGAAA